rnacentral:rRNA from 1 species
GAUGAACGCUAGCGGCAGGCCUAAUACAUGCAAGACGAACGGUAAGUUUGGUAGCAAUACUAAACCAAGAGUGUCGUAAGGGUGCGUAACGGGUAUGCAAUCUGCCCUCAACAGGAGGAUAGCUCCCCGAAAGGGGAAUUAACACUCCGUAAUAUAACGGUACGGCAUCGGAAUGUGAUUAAAACCACGGUGGUUGAGGAUGAGCAUGCUUCUGAUUAGUUAGUUGGCGGGGUAACGGCCCACCAAGGCGAUGAUCAGUAGGGGAACUGAGAGGUUGGUCCCCCACACUGGCACUGAGAUACGGGCCAGACUCCUACGGGAGGCAGCAGUAGGGAAUAUUGGACAAUGGGUGCGAGCCUGAUCCAGCCAUGCCGCGUGCAGGAAGACGGCCUUCUGGGUUGUAAACUGCUUUUGCCAGGGGAUAAAAAGCCCUUGCGAGGGAAAUUGAAGGUACCUGGAGAAUAAGCCCCGGCUAACUUCGUGCCAGCAGCCGCGGUAACAC